rnacentral:lncRNA from 1 species
AUGGCAGCUCAGACCCUCCUGUAAUUCAGCUCCAAGGGACUCAACACCCUCUUCUGACCUCCAAGGUUAUCUGCUCUCAAUGCUCGUGCACAUAUGGGGGUGUGUGUACGUACAUGUAAUUAAAAUAAUGAAAAUGAGGGGUUGGGGAUUUAGCUCAGUGGUAGAGCGCUUGCCUAGGAAGCGCAAGGCCCUGGGUUCGGUCCCCAGCUCCGAAAAAAAGAACCAAAAAAAUAAUAAUAAUAAUAAUAAUGAAAAUGAAUCUUUCGGCCAGGUGUAGUAUACAUCCUUAAUUCUAGCACUUUUGAGGCAGAGGCAGGUCGAUCUCUGAGUUCCAGGCCUGCAGGGGGUACACAACUAGACCAUGCCUUAAAAAAAAUACUUGGGGGUUGGGGAUUUAGCUCAGUGGUAGAGCACUUGCCUAGCAAGCGCAAGGCCCUGGGUUCAGUCCCCAGCUCCGA